AAGUACUCAGAUACCUAAUUAAAAGUAGUAGGACAACUAUUUUAAAAAUACUCUGUUACAUGUAAAAGUACUAUAUUAUGGAUGUUAAACUUCCUAGUGUUAGCAACAACAUGUUAUCACUGAAGUACCCUGAAGUACUCAGAUACAUAAAUAAAAGUAGUAGUGCCCUGAAGUACCCAUAUACUGAACUAAAAGUAGCAGUACAACUAUUUAGAAAUACCUUGUUAGAUGCAAAAGUACUACAUUAUGGACUUUAUACUUGUUAGUAUGAGCAUGAAGUCUUAUAUUAAAGAUUUUACAACAGCAAAAGCAACAACGUGCUUCUGUAGUCACUGUGCAAAGGUAUGUUAUCAUACAUUUAGCAGUUGAUUAAUCGUAUUGCUAAGUAAGAGUAGAAAUUAUGUGAACUACAUUAAGAUUUUUUUUGAAAUAUUAUGUAACCCGGGCGAUAAAACCCUAGUUAGAAAUAUAAAUAAAUAAGUAUAUCCUCCAUUCCCGUCUCCAAAACUGUCCUGUCAAAUGCGUAAUGACGUCAUAUGUCACGCUGUGCGUCCCGUCACGUGACGGUGCGCGGCCAAUCGGGUUGUUUUAUAUCCGGAAGUCACUCGCGGGCCGCGAGCUUCGAGAGGGGGACACGUUGGGAAGAUUUGCUGCAAGGAGCCAACUACCGGAGCCGCCAGGCGUCGUGUGGAGUCGCGGGUGUUGAUUAAAGAAGGAAUUGGCCAGGUGAUGGCGAGCUAGACCCAAAGAAUUCUAGGCCCACACCGCCUGAAGAACCCUGGAGCUCGAACUGAAGUGAACUGAACUGGACCUCCUGCACCUUCUCCACCUGGUUGGGCUAGUGGGAGGCUCCUUUAAGGCAGCCGCCCCUCUCUUUUACUUUUUGCCUCUCGCAACAACUCAUUCUUGGCCCAAACCCAUUCACCACUCGCUCAACACUCCCUUUCCCUGGACACUGCCCUUUCCCUCUGGACGAUUUGGGCCACUGAACUGUUGCGUGUGUUCUAUCUCGGGUGAACUUCAGAACUCUUUCGCGCGUCCAAUGGAUCGUUUCUCGCGUGUUAAUGGAUCCAUCGAAUAAUGUUUUUUUUGUGAAAUAAUUGUGACUUAAUUCUGCACUUCUCAUGAAUGGCCAUUCACUUUAAAUGUUAAAUUUUGUUUGUCUAUGUCAAAAUAUAAUAUAAUUGGUACCACCUAAAACUUA